GUGGGUGGGGCUCGCGAUUUGAGUCGGGACUAGCGGAUUCGCCGGAGGCUCUGGUCUCCCAGCAAGAGGACAAAUGUGCCGGGAUGUAUGCAGGCAAGCCAGAAGAGGAGAGUCCAGGACCAGUAAAUCAGGUCAGUAAAUGCACUAUUCUGUCAGGGGCCAAGUUACCACUGAAGAGGUAAGACAAGUGAUGGUUGAGGAUCAUAAAUGUGAUUCAAGGACAGCAGAAAUUACCAAGAAGAAAGGGAAAUGUCUGUCAGAUGUGGCACCAAUCUCUUAGUUUCCCCUUAGUAAUACUCCACUGAGAGUAGUUAGAGAAGCUAGUGGGCCAUUGAGAUGGCAGGGUGCCAGCAGCAUUUGGACCCACAGCUUCUGCAACAUUCAAUGCCAGGGCCUGCAGCUGUGGUGGGUGCAGCAGCCUCAGAGGAUGUGAAGUAGACCUCCCCAGAAGUAUCUAUCCUUUUCAGAGAACACCAGCAGAUUAACAGUCACUUUGGACAUUGGAAGCUGCAGCAAACACCUCAAUAUAAUAAGUUGACACAGGAGCAAAGGGAAUGAAUGGUCCAACCCAUGGAGCAGUCAGGGAAGCUGGUCAGGGAAAAGGCAGGGGAGACACCCCUAAGGGGUCCCCAGGCUAUCUGUGAGGAAUUAAAGGGGUCUGGACUUCCCGUACUGUUGUUAGAAACUAAGGAAAAAUACUACUAAUAAGAUAAAUGUCUGUGGUUGUCUUACAUCUUAGCUGGGUAUGUAGGAAUUUAGGUUAUAUGAAAAUUAUUUAGAAUUAAGCUUUCUUUCUUUCUUUCUUUUUUUCUUUUUCUUUCCUUUUUCUCCUGGUCACCCAUGGCAUAUAGAGUUCCCAGGUCAAGGGUAGGAUCUGACCUAUGCCACAGCUGCGGCAAUGCCAGAUCCUUUAACUCACUUGCCAGGCUGGGGAUUGAACCAUCCUAUUGUGCCACAGCAGGAACUCUAGAAGUAAGUUUUCUUAAGGAGUCACAAAACUUUUCUUUUUUGUUUUUUAGGGCUGCACCUGUGGCAUAUAGAGGUUCCCGGGCUAGGGGUUGAAUCAGAUCUGCAGCUGUUGGCCUACACCACAGCUGUAGCAAUGUGGAAUCAGAGCCACAUCUGUGACCUACGCCAUAGCUCAAGGCAACAUUGGAUCCUUAACCCACUGAGCGAGGCCAGGGAUUGAAUCUGCAUCCUCAUGGAUACUAGUAAGAUUCAUUUCUGCUGAGCCAUGAUGGGAAUUCCAACACAGGAUUAUUCCAACUCCCUCUCUUUCCCUCAGGGUUUGCUGACUUUACCUAUAAUGUCUUCUCAUGUUGCCUCACCCUAAAAGAAUUAGGACUAUCUAAGGCAGCAUUUAACUGGAAACCCAACUAAGGUUUGUGAGGCUGAACAAAUAAAGUUUUAUUAAAAUUUUUUUUUAAUUUUGAUUUUUCUUUUUUCUUUAAAUUUUGUUCUGAGGUAUUUAUUUUUGAAUAUGCAAAAAUUUUAUUUAUUUAAAUAAUUUUUAUUUUUUCCAUUAUAGUUGGUUUACAGUGCUGAGUAAUCACUUUUCUACUGUACAGCAAAGUGACCCAGUCACACAUGCAUAUAUACAUUCAUUUUCUCACAUUACCCUCCAUUAUUCUCCAUCACAAGUGACUAGAUAUAGUUCCCAGUGCUACACAGCAGGAUCUCAUAGCUAAUCCAUUCUGAAUGCAAUACUUUAUAUCUAUUAACCCCAGAUUCCCAGUCCAUCCCACUCCCACCCCCUUCCCCUUGGUAAUCACAAGUCUGUUCUCCAAGUCCAUGAGUUUCUUUUCUGUGGAAAGGUUAUUUGUGCCAUAUAUUAGAUUCCAGAUGUGUGAUAUCAUAUGGUAUUUGUCUUUCUCUUUCUGACUUCACUUAGUAUGAGAGUCUAUAGUUGUAUCCAUGUUGCUGCAAAUGGCAUUAUUUUGUUCUUUUUUAUGGCUGUGAGGUAUUCCAUUGUGUAUAUAUACCAUAUCUUCUUAAUCAAUUCAUCUUGUCAGUGGACAUUGAGGUUGUUUCCAUGUCUUGGCUAUUAUGAAUGGUGCUGCAAUGAACAUAUGGGUGCAUGUGUCUAUUUCAAGGAAAGUUUUGUCUGGAUAUAUGCCCAUUAUAGUUGAUUUGCCAUAAUCCAUCAAUUUCUACUGUACAGCAAAGGUUUAUUUCUUACUUAACAGUAAAUCUGGAAUUGUCAUUCUUCUGACCUGGUUUCAAGAGCUCAGUGAAGAGAAACACAAUUGUAGAAAUCAAGUCUGUUUUUGAGACAGGAAGAAGGUAGAAAUGAGAAGGUGGGCCAAGGACUCAGCAGGAGGAUUUUAUGUUAUAUCAAGAAACAAAAGCUCCAGAAGGCUUCCAGUUAUGUUUCCUUGGCC
rnacentral:lncRNA from 1 species